rnacentral:tRNA from 1 species
GCCGGGGUGGCUGAGUGGACUAAAGCGCGGGCCUUGAGAGCCCGUGGGGAGUGCAUCCCCGCGUGGGUUCGAAUCCCACCCCCGGCGCCA